rnacentral:lncRNA from 1 species
GGGUAAUUCAGUCACUUUUAUGAAGAAUUGAUACUCAUUGCCGUUUCACAUGUAAACUCACAGGAAAAAAUUACUUUGAAAGAACAUAGAAAAUCAAUCAUAUUGCUGGGUUUUCCCUUCCAGUUUCUUUUCAUUCUUUGGCAAAACAAACAAACAAACAAAACCAACCAACCCAAUUCUAAUCUGCAAAGGCAAGAACAGCCCUAAACUCAAAGAUGUGCUCAGCUGGGAAAAAAAAUGGUUUCAGUUUUGAGAUAAAUGGGCAUGUUAGCACAAUUAGGAUUUUAAUCAGGAGACUGAGAGGGGCAUGUCUGUGGCAC